rnacentral:rRNA from 1 species
GUCCACGCCGUAAACGAUGAUCACUAGACGUUAGUUCUGUUUUACGGGAUUAGUGUCGUAGCUCACGCGUUAAGUGAUCCGCCUGGGAAUUACGGUCGCAAGAUUAAAAACUCAAAAGGAAUUGACGGGGGCCCGCACAAGCGGUGGAACAUGUGGUUUAAUUCGAUACUACGCGAGGAACCUUACCUAGGCUUGACAUGUAUUUGACCGUCGUGGAAACACGAUCUUUAGGCUUCGGUCUAACAAAUACACAGGUGCUGCAUGGCUGUCGU